rnacentral:rRNA from 1 species
UACGGAGGGUGCAAGCGUUGUUCGGAAUCAUUGGGCGUAAAGCGCGUGUAGGCGGUUGCCUAAGUCUGGUGUGAAAGCCCGGGGCUCAACCCCGGAAGUGCACUGGAUACUGGGUGACUAGAGGGCGAGAGAGGAAAGUGGAAUUCAUGGUGUAGGGGUGAAAUCCGUAGAUAUCAUGAGGAACAUCUGUGGCGAAGGCGACUUUCUGGCUCGUUUCUGACGCUGAGACGCGAAAGCGUGGGGAGCAAACAGG